rnacentral:rRNA from 1 species
UCUGAUGUGAAAGCCCGAGGCUUAACCUCGGAAGUGCAUCGGAUACUGACAGACUAGAGGACAGAAGAGGGAAGUGGAAUUCCUGGUGUAGGGGUGAAAUCCGUAGAUAUCAUGAGGAACAUCAGUGGCGAAGGCGGCUUCCUGGUCUGUUUCUGACGCUCAGACGCGAAAGCAUGGGGAGCAAACAGGAUUAGAUACCCUGGUAGUCCAUGCCCUAAACGAUGGAUACUAGUCGUCGGGAUACCUAAUUGUCUCGGUGACAUAGCUAACGCGUUAAGUAUCCCGCCUGGGAAUUACGAUCGCCACGCUUAAAACUCGAAGGAAUUGACGGGGGCCCGCACAAGCGGAGGAGCAUGUGGUUCAAUUCGAUGCUACGCGAAAAACCUUACCUGGGCUAGAAGUGUAGAGGACGAUACCAGAGAUGGUAUUUCCCGAAAGGGUCUUUACAUAGGUGCUGCAUGGCUGUCGUCAGCUCGUGCCGUGAGGUGUUUGGUUAAGUCCAGCAACGAGCGCAACCCUUAUCGUUAGUUGCCAACGCGUAAUGGCGGGAACUCUAACGAGACUGCCUGGGUUAACCAGGAGGAAGGUGAGGAUGACGUCAAGUCCGCAUGGCCUUUAUGUCCAGGGCUACACACGUGCUACAAUGGUCGGUACGGAAGGCAGCGAAGCCGCAAGGUGUAGCAAAUCCUAUAAAACCGAUCUCAGUUCAGAUUGUAGUCUGCAACUCGGCUACAU